rnacentral:rRNA from 1 species
UAGUGGAUGAGUACCGUGAGGGAAGGGUGAAAAGUACCCCGGGAGGGGAGUGAAAGAGUUCCUGAAACCGGUCGCAUGCAAGCCGUCAGAGCCUGUGUGGUGAUGGCGUGCCUUUUGAAGAAUGAGCCUGCGAGUUAGUGAUGCGUGGCGAGGUUAACCCGUGGUGGGGGAGUCGUAGCGAAAGCGAGUCCGAUAAGGGCGUGAGUCGCGUGUUCUAGACCCGAAGCGGUGUGAUCUAUCCAUGGCCAGGAUGAAGCGUCGGUAAGACGUCGUGGAGGUCCGAACCCACUUCAGUUGAAAAUGGAGGGGAUGAGUUGUGGAUAGGGGUGAAAGGCCAAUCAAACACCGUGAUAGCUGGUUCUCCCCGAAAUGCAUUUAGGUGCAGCGUUGCGUGGUUCUUGUUGGAGGUAGAGCACUGGAUGGUCUAGGGGGCUUAUCGGCUUACCGAAAUCAGCCAAACUCCGAAUGCUGGCAAGUGUAGCGUGGCAGUGAGACGGCGGGGGAUAAGCUUCGUCGUCGAGAGGGAAACAGCCCAGAUCAUCAGCUAAGGCCCCUAAGUGGUGACUCAGUGGGAAAGGAUGUGGAGUUGCGUAGACAACCAGGAGGUUGGCUUGGAAGCAGCCAUCCUUGAAAGAGUGCGUAAUAGCUCACUGGUCAAGUGAUUCCGCGCCGAUAAUGUAGCGGGGCUUAAGUUAUCCGCCGAAGCUGUGGCAACCUGUGUGGUUGGGUAGGGGAGCGUCGUGUCAGUGGUGAAGCUGCCGGGUGACUGUGUGGUGGAGUUGAUGCGAGUGAGAAUGCAGGCAUGAGUAGCGUGUGACGGGUGGGAAUCCCGUCCGCCGAUUAUCCAAGGGUUCCAGGGUCAAGUUUGUCUGCCCUGGGUGAGUCGGGUCCUAAGGCGAGGCCGACAGGCGUAGUCGAUGGGUAACCAGUUGAUAUUCUGGUACCGGCAUGUCACCGUCCGUGUCGAGGUGUGUGAUGCUAAGCAUGUGAGCUUGUCUUGGGAGUGUUUUUGAUGCUUCUGGGGUGGGUGAGUGUGUGAACCGAUC